rnacentral:rRNA from 1 species
CGAAAGCCUGACGGAGCAAUACCGCGUGAGGGAGGAAGGUUCUUGGAUUGUAAACCUCUUUUCUAGGGGAAUAAAAAAAUGAAGGUACCCUAGGAAUAAGCAUCGGCUAACUCCGUGCCAGCAGCCGCGGUAAUACGGAGGAUGCAAGCGUUAUCCGGAAUUAUUGGGCGUAAAGAGUCCGUAGGUGGAAGUUCAAGUCUGCUGUUAAAGAAUGGAGCUUAACUCCAUAGAGGCGGUGGAAACUGAGCAACUAGAGUGCGGUAGGGGUAACGGGAAUUCCCAGUGUAGCGGUGAAAUGCGUAGAUAUUGGGAAGAACAUCGGUGGCGAAAGCGCGUUACUGGGCCGAAACUGACACUGAGGGACGAAAGCUAGGGUAGC